AAAUAAUAAUAAUAAUUAAUUAUCGCAUUGCUCUUCUAAUCCUGCCUCUCAUUCAUUAAUCGUUUUACAUCUAUCCUUUAUAAAAUUGUUGUAUUAAGUAUAUAUCUAGUCUUAAUAUAAUAAAGUCUCGAAUAAUGGGCUGUUUGUCAUAUAUAACCAAGAAAUUCAAAUAGGCUUUUUUAAGUUUGGAGAUUCAAAAACAAAGGAUAUAUAUAGUUGUAAGAUAAGAAGUGAAACACUUAUCAUCCUUAGAUAAUGACCUUAGUGGAAGUUAAGUAACAAAUAAUAGUAGAAAGGCAAUUACUCUGCUAUUCUUUGAAAAUAGAGACUAAAUUAUCCUAUAUAAUAAAAUUUAUUCUUAGAAUUGUUUAUCCUAUAUAAUAAAUUUUAUUCUUAAAAACUAAACAAUUCUUAAAAUUUGUUUUCGCAUUUUCCGUUAGAAUAACUGGUGAGCAUUUAGCCCUCUAGGUUGCUUCAUUUCAUUCCUCUCAUUCUGAUUUUUCGUUAUAAUUCAAUGCACUCGUAUCCAGUUUUAUAUUAAUGAUUAAAAAAAUUAAAGUUCUGCAUUUAUUUUUAUUGGCAGUAUGCUUCUAACUUGGAAGUUUCAUGCACUGAAUGUAUUUUUUCAAAAACAAGACAUUUAUUUUUAUAGGUGACUUCCUAAAUAAAUUUAUUCUUUUAUAGGUGAAACAAAAAAGAUUGUUCAAACCCUGUGUCUAAUGCUACCUUCUAGCUUGCUCUCUGUUUUUUAAAAGUUUUUGACAAAGUUUUGCUGUUUAACUUUGAUAAAAAGAAUAUAAUAAGGUUCAGAAGAAUGACAUGAGGUUUGCGGGACAAGUGAUCCUCACAAAAGCAAAAAUAAAUAAAUUAAAAGCAUAUUUUUUAAUUAAUUUUGCCUUACAAUUUCUUGUCAUAUUGCAUUUAGUUUGUUUACAAUCUCUUUUGGUUUCUUGGUUUAGGCAUUCAGUUUGUACUUGUUGAUAUCUUUGCAUUGGCAUCUUAAUUAUUUCUUUUUCUUUGCAGUGAAAUGAUUCAAUAGAAAACAUGCCCAAUGGAAUGCAGCUAAGAAGGAAGAAAAGAAAAUGGUUAAUUUGAAGGACAAGUGGAGAAACAUGAUGCGAAAGUGAUGCACAUGUGUAGAUCUAAGGGAGUAGGUUCUAACUUCUAUGGAUGCAACCAAGUUUUUUUAAAAGAGGGACCUAAGACCUAAGUACCAACUAUGCUGCCAAUACACUUCAGUUUUAUAUCUGGUUUUAAGAGCUCAUCCAAAGCUGUUUCUAUUUUGUGCUGUCCAAGUUGCAAGCACUACUUUUCUACAUUGCUUCUAAAGAAGGAGAUAAGAUUUCGGAGCAAUUGACUAUAAUAUAUUCCUAAUCAACAAGCUUCACAGGAAUUGAAUCAAGAGAGUGAGAUUUCAUCGCCAAAAGAGUUAAGAAGUAGGUCUUCCGGCGCAAGCAAUAGAGCAGCAUGAAAUAUGAUGGAGAUUUUAUGUAUUAAGAGUUACAUGUUAUGACAUUUAUAGUUGAAAAAAUAUGUUAUGUUUGAUAUUAUGUAUAAGAGUUAUUACUUUUGAUUUCCAAUACUAAAAAAUCAUAUAUUAUGUUUAAUACUUUGUUUAUGAGUUAUAUAAUAUUUUGUUUAUAGA